UUUUUUUACAUCUCAGGCUUUCCUGUUCUUUGAAGGAAUUGGAUCAGAAGCAAAGACAAGUACAGCAACAGUGAUCUAUGCAUCUUCUCUGAAGGGCAGUGGUUUACUCUCACACAAUUUGAACAGUUUGGUGGGAGAAAAAAAAAUAAAAGUGGAAGACAAGCAUCUUUUGCCAUGAGGUUCCGUUGUAAACAUUCAUACAGGAGGGUUUUCUUUCAUGUCCAUCAUAAAACAAAGGAAGACCGAGGAUGUAGAGCAUUCUGUCCCAGGAUCCUUGCCUGAUGUCACCAGAGUCAUGCGGAGACAGAAGAGAGGGGGAAGGACAGCACGUUCCAGUGGAAAUAACAGUUACAGAUAAUACACCACCUCAGAGUCCAUCUCAGACUAUGGGAAUAGAAUCAGCGAAGAUGAUGAGGAUGACGAUGAUGAUGAUGUCAUGGCAUUGUUCCAUAUUGAUUCUUUUCCUGUUAAAUGUUUCACAGAGAGGGGAACUCUACACAAAAAGCGCUUUGCUACAGGUUUGCGUGUGUGUCUGUGUUUGUGUACAAAUCUUAUACAAUGUUAAACACAUGACUACACACUCAUCAUUCCUAGGUUGCAAGGUUCAUAGGGCCUUAUGUGGUAAUCUUUUGAGGAUUCUUUAGAGCCAAGUUCAUCUUCUUUUCCUAAAUAUUCUGGAAGAAUCCUGGAGUUCCAU